ACGAAGGGUGCAAGCGUUACUCGGAAUUACUGGGCGUAAAGCGUGCGUAGGUGGUUUGUUAAGUCUGAUGUGAAAGCCCUGGGCUCAACCUGGGAAUUGCAUUGGAUACUGGCAGGCUAGAGUGCGGUAGAGGAUGGCGGAAUUCCCGGUGUAGCAGUGAAAUGCGUAGAGAUCGGGAGGAACAUCUGUGGCGAAGGCGGCUUCCUGGACCUGUUCUGACACUGAGGAGCGAAAGCGUGGGGAGCGAUCCGGA
rnacentral:rRNA from 1 species